AGCAGUAGCCGCGGUAAUACGUAGGGGGCAAGCGUUGUCCGGAAUUAUUGGGCGUAAAGCGCGCGCAGGCGGUUUUUUAAGUCUGGUGUCUAAGUGCGGGGCUCAACCCCGUGACGCACUGGAAACUGGGAGACUUGAGUGCAGAAGAGGAGAGCGGAAUUCCACGUGUAGCGGUGAAAUGCGUAGAGAUGUGGAGGAACACCAGUGGCGAAGGCGGCUCUAUGGACUGUAACUGACGCUGAGGCGCGAAAGCGUGGGGAGCAAACAGGAUUAGAUACCCCGGUAGUCCCUGUCUCUUAUACA
rnacentral:rRNA from 1 species